CCCAGCAGCAGCAGCAGCGGCAGCAGCGGAGGCAUCAGCAGUGCAGCGUCCCCUCGCCGUGGUUCCAUCCACCUGAAGAUUUCUGAGACAAUUCUCAUUACCAGCGGUGGCAGCGCAGCACUUGGAAAGGGAGAAUCAAUCUGAGAGAGGGAGAGAGAGAGAGAGAGAGAGAGAGAGAGAGAGAGAGAGAGAGAGAGAGGGAGAGGAGAGAGGAGAGGAAGACAGCGUCGGCGGCGGCUCUGCAGUGGAAUACGCUGUUAUUUGAGGGAAGGUGAGAGCUCUCGGAGUACCCGACCGACCAGCGCGCAGUUGAGCGGGAUGUGUUUCAGGACUUGACCGCAGCAGCAUCAUGAAAUAAAGUAACUCCUGGGUUCUUCUCACUUCACAAAAAGCCUCACUCAAAUCCCCAGACAACACGAGAAAAAAAGGGAAUAACAUCUGUUUAUCUGCAUAUUUCUAUGUUCAAAAAACAAGAGGAAAAAACACAGAGAUCGACAGAGGACAAAAAACAUCUCAGAGGAUGCAGAAUUAGAAAGAACAAAUUGCCACUGGAGGACCAAAAGGAAAAUAAACCUUUUCUCGCAAAUCCACCAGUGUGGAGUCACCUCACCUGUACCUUCGGAUUAAAGAGCAGGGUCAUGUCCCAGUUGCCAUGCGCAUCGCCACGCUGACCUGCCUUCCCGGCCCUUCCCCCUUCCUCUUUCUAGUGGCCCAGCUGCUACUGCGGCUCCUCCUCCCUGGGCCGGAGUUGGUGGGAGCCGCCUCCUCCUGCCCCUCCCUCUGCACCUGCUCCAACCAGGCCAGCCGAGUCAUCUGCACCAGGCAAAAUCUGGAGGAGGUGCCCGAGAGCAUAUCAGUCAACACACGAUACCUCAACCUGCAGGAGAACUCGAUACAGGUUAUCAAGUCAGACACUUUCAAGCACUUGAGGCACCUUGAGAUCCUCCAGCUGUCCAAGAAUCAGAUCCGUCAGAUUGAAGUCGGAGCAUUCAAUGGCCUCCCCAACCUCAACACACUGGAGCUCUUCGACAACCGCCUCACACUGGUGCCAUCACAUGCCUUUGAGUACCUCAGCAAGCUGCGAGAGCUGUGGCUGCGCAACAACCCCAUUGAGACUCUGCCCGGCUAUGCCUUCCACCGUGUGCCCUCGCUACGUCGCCUGGACCUGGGUGAGCUCAAGAAGUUGGAUUUCAUCUCUGACGCAGCCUUUGUCGGCCUCAUCAAUCUACGAUACCUGAACCUGGGCAUGUGUGGGCUGAAGGACAUUCCCAAACUGACAGCCCUUGUGCGUUUGGAGGAACUGGAACUGUCAGGAAACCGGCUGGAGAUAAUCCGACCCGGUUCCUUCCAGGGCCUGGUGUCUCUACGCAAGCUGUGGCUCAUGCACUCACAGGUGUCCGUCAUUGAGCGCAACGCCUUCGAUGACCUGAAAAACCUGGAAGAGCUCAACCUGUCCCAUAAUUCCCUGCACUCCUUGCCCCAUGACCUCUUCACGCCCCUUCACCAGCUGGAGAGGGUACACCUUAACCACAACCCCUGGAUCUGCAACUGUGAUGUUCUUUGGCUUAGUUGGUGGUUGAAAGAGACGGUGCCCAGCAACACCACCUGCUGUGCCCGUUGCCAUGCUCCCCCAUUCUUAAAGGGCAAGUACAUUGGAGAGCUUGACCAGAGCCACUUCACUUGCUAUGCGCCUGUCAUUGUGGAGCCACCUACAGACCUCAAUGUCACUGAGGGUAUGGCUGCUGAGCUCAAGUGUCGCACAAGCACUUCCACAACAUCUGUCAACUGGAUCACCCCUAAUGGCACUUUAAUGACCCAUGGCUCUUACCGGGUGCGGAUAUCCGUCCUGCAUGAUGGCACACUCAACUUCACAAAUGUCACUCUGCGAGACACGGGCCAGUACACCUGUAUGGUCACCAAUGCUGCUGGCAAUACCACAGCAACUGCUGUCCUCAAUGUCACUGCUGCUGAUGCUAGUGUCAAUUACACCUACUUUACAACAGUCACCGUUGAAACAGUGGAGACCACAGGAGAUGAAGACUCUGCAUUGGUAGACAUCAAUGAGACUGUCAUUCGUGUUCAUCCUGGCCCCACUCCCUCAGGCCACCUGUGGCCAGAAGGUGUUUCUACCACAGCCUCAUCUCUGUCAGCCGGCUGGUCCUCCUCCUCUCCUCGUACCACGCGACCCACCUUCACUGUGCCCAUCACGGAACCGGGCUUCUCAGGCCUGGAUGAUGUGAUGAAGACCACCAAGAUCAUCAUUGGCUGCUUCGUAGCCAUUACCUUUAUGGCAGCGGUGAUGCUGGUGGUGUUCUACAAGCUGAGGAAGCAGCACCAGCUGCAUAAGCACCACGGUCCUGCUCGUGCCAUCGAGAUCAUCAAUGUGGAGGAUGAGCUGGGAGCCGGGGCCAGUGGUCGAGGCAGUGGCAUCUCAGGAGGCUCCACCAUGACGCAGGGUGGAAGCAGUGGAAUAGGAGGGGGUCAGAGCCUCAGGCUGCACCACCCAGAGAUAGUCAAUCUGCCGAACCUGGCCCGAUCGGAGCACCUCAACCACUACUACAAAACCCAUCACUUCAACAACAACAUGAUGGGCCUGGGAAUGGGCACAGGUUCUGGUGUUGGCCUCAACAACAACAACAACCCCUCACCUUGCUCUCAGUCUCAGAACACAUCCAUUUCUUGCUCCCAAGUUCCAACUUCCACCAGUGGAGGAACACCCACAGGUGGCACCUUGCCCUCUCCUGUGCCCCUGCCCCAGUUGGGUCUCCACAGUUCUCUGAAAGGCCUUAUGGGGAAAAGCCAGAAUGAGCCCCUGCUUUUUAAGAGCGGAUCCAAGGAAAAUGUGCAAGAGACUCAAAUUUGAGUAAAAGUGAAAUUAGAAGUAAGACGUAAGGAAGAUGAGAUUCUGGAUAGAGACAGUGAGACAGAAAGAGCCUGUGAGACCGAGUAUAUGAGACUGAUUGUAGCCUACUGUCCACAUGGACAGAUUCCAGAAAAGAUUAUAUUUCACAUAGUUGCUGCUUUGUGUUGUCAAUCUGUUGACAGAGAGAAGCAGAUAGGAAAACUAAAGGAGACAGAGUACGAAAUCUGAUCAGCACUAGUCCCACCAUUACCAUCUGCACAUUCUUUUAAACUAGAUCAGACACAGACAUAAACGAUGUAAACCACAUACAUCAGAAUCAUUCAGUUACCUGUGCAUCUUGCCAUAGUCUUUGCCAAAGUCCAAGAUCAAGCCAACUCUUUUUAUUUGCACCCACAAUCACAGUGGAAAGCUAUGAAUAAUACAAAUGUGCAAUGAGCUCUCUAGGUUUUAUACAGAUUGCUUCGUAUAUUUCCAGACACAUUCAGUGUAUAUAUUUGGAGGGAGACAUAAUAUUGGCCAUUGAACAUGUUGUCAGAUUAGUGUUUGGCAGAGAUACUGAAUAACAAACAAUGGUUUGGGUGAGCAGUACUGUCCCAGGUUUCCAGGAAGCACUAAAACAAAAACAGAGGAGGCAAAAUUAGAACAGUGCAGUGAUUCUGUCCAGGACACACGUAUCAGACUAGUACUAGAAAGACAGAACAACAGCAAUCGUUUUUUCAGAGUGGUUUCACUCUCACUUUCUCACUUUUUUCCCUUUUACACCUUACUGGCUACUGUCUUCUCUGAAGGAGGAGAGAAACAGAGUGGUUUAUCAUGGGAGAAGAAAAAUCCCAGGGCAUAAAGGACAGUGAGAGAUAUAAAAAAGACUGAAAGUACAUAUUAUAUAUACCGUAAAUAUAUUUUCAUUCAAAGAAAUAAAUUAUAAAGAAUCUUUAUCAAGCUUCUGACUGAAAACUACAACGUCUGAAGAAUAUAUAUAAAAAAAAAAAUACACACAGCUGUUGUAGUGGCCCUCCCUUACAACUUUUCCGAACUUAUAACAAGAUGGCCGCUCCGACUGUGCUGGAUAAGGACAGAUGUGGGAGAGUGGCAUCCGUUGAAAGGGAGCUAAAACAAAAACCUGGCAAAGUGUUUGAGUGAAUUUAUUUUGGUCUUGACUUUUUUGUAGCCACACAAAGUGUUUUCCCUCUCCUGUCGCAUUCAUAUAAACAGGGUCAUUGGAGAAGGGAGAUCUUUGCGCUCUACUGCGAAAAUAUGAAAUACGACUACAGCUCUUCAUCAUUUGGUAUGCAGUAUAGCUACAGUAUUAAUAAUAAUGAUCAUAAUGGUAAUAAUGAUAACAAGCUUUGGCUUUAUUUGUCAUACUGGUCACUUAAUGAUUAACACAUCAAAUGAUCAACAAUAUGUUACAAUAUGUUACUGUACAUAUUACUAAAACGUUGCACAUGCUAGUUUAGCAUGCUCUCUAAAAACAAAUUCUAUAUUUGAUCAACAUUCGGUUUCAAAAUGUAAGAGCUAUCACAAUGUUGAUAUGACAUAUUAUUGUUGUUACGUUAUCAUUAUUAUCAUUCAUAUGACUAUUAUUAUUGCUACUUGUGCAUACAAACAGCUGAAAAGUACUUUUUUUCAUUUGUAUAUGACACUGAAUUUGUUUUAUGAUCCUGUUGGACUUUGGCUAAUGAACGGCAGUGGGACGGACUCAGCGUGCCACUAAGUGAACUCCACGUGUAUCAGCAGGAUAUACCUUGGCCCUCAAAAUGGCUUCCUCAGUGUAGCCCUCACUGACUCGCCUGCUCUGAUGUCUCAAGCAGUCAGGACCCCUCAUGUUAUUACGCAUUAAAGACAGGACAUGAACCUCUGAUGAAGACUGCUCCUUUGCAGGGGAUUAUUUCACAACUGUAUCUCAGUGUUAUCGUGUAUGAGUGGAUUUCAUGGCAGCAGGGAGCUAAAUGGACGACAGGCAUUGCCAAGCAUUUUUAAAGGUCUUCUGCCAUCAGACGACCAAAAUGUCGAAUGAUGAGAUGGAUGACACAUACGGCAGCAUGCGGUUUUAUUUUGACCAGACCAAAGUUGGUGAUAGUUGUAACAGAGGAAAGACUAACAAAGAAUGACUUGACCUACCCUGCACGGUGACUUCGAAUGUGCAGCUGUCGCACUUGUCUUUGGAGGUGACCUCGCAGCGGUAGCCACCUGCGUCUCCAUCCACUACUUUGAUGAUGCUCAUUUCGAGGCAACUCUGCAUCGAGGAGGGGGAAGAAAGAGAGAGCGGGGAACACGUCAGUUUGUACAGUAUGUGUGCGAUGCUGUUAAACACAAGCGUUAAUUGGCCCAAUGAUAAUCUUGACUUCAGGAAAAGGAGGUUUAUGGACAAGCAGCAGGUAAAGAUAAAGGCACAUCGGACCACCAAUCAAGUAGAAUGAGUAGGGCCCUGGGUGGACAUCCAUUGGACGAGAGCAGUUGCUGAGAGAAUGGAUCCAGGGUCACGUGUCAAAUAAGGUCAUGCGCCUCCAUAAAUUCAGAGAGUCACACCAUCCGCGCCUCUUCCUCUCUCUCUGCUUUUAUGGGCUCAGUUAAUUUGAUCUUUUAAUCAAAAGUGCCCCUGAGGAUAUAUCCAAGUUCAGAUGUUCAGGAUGAUUUAAAAGGUUUCAGUUAGAAUGCUAAGUGGGUAAAGCUGAUCCUGGAAUGGCACCCAGGGGACACUUUUGAAUGUUUACGCUCCUACACUGUUACACUGGACACUUGCUGUGUUUGGGAUGAGGGUUGCUCAGUGAAAUUAACUCCAGACACUGUCCUUGGCUCCGGGAAUGGAUGUUGUACAAUAGCCCGCAGGGCCUAAUUGACUGAAGCCCCCUUACAGACCCUACACACACGUUGGACAAUGAAGACAACCCACAUCAAAAUAUUCAGUAAUGCUUUAUUUUACGGGCACGGUAUUUCCUCAUAAUUUCCAAACUUUCCUGGAAAGAACUAUGUAAUUACAAGAAUUUGGUUACUAAUUUUAGGGAAAUUAAAGACAGAGUUUAGAGACUAGUUUAGUUUGACCCUGUCCUGCUAAGAAGAACAACAGAAUUUCAGAAAAAGCCCCAACCACUGUAGGAAUUCUAAUGCUUGGCCAUUGGGGAAAAAAAGCAGAAGUCAGGUGAAAUUAAUAGAGACAAAGUUCACAUCAGGAGGAAGCGGGGCUGGAUAGACAACAAAAUGUCAGAAUUAACACAGGAGACUUUGUUUCCCAUUUACUACUGACAGUCAACAUUGGUUUCUUUUAACCAUAACCACAAUUGUUCCCUAAUCUCAAUCUCUUAAUCUGAUUAUUAACCAUGGCAAUGAGGGUGCCCUAACCUUAACAAAAGACUUACUUGAACCCAAACUAUAAUCUUUACCUAAAUCUAACCAAGUUGUUGUUGUGCCAAAAACCUAACCAAACCUUUCCAGUCUUAUUUUAUAGACAUAACAUUUAUAUACAACUAAUUUGCAACAGUAAAUAUGUUUAGAGAGAAAUGUUAUGCAGACCGAAUUCUGUUUUCCAUUAACAUAAUCAGGAAAUGUUGGUAAUGAAGACAAGUCGUUAAUAUGUUGAUUCUGAACGUAUUAGUGAAAUGUUCACUGUUUCCUUAUCUGACCAAAAUCAUGAUCGUUCCAUAACCCUAACCCUUGUUGCAUGAGUGUGACAGCCCUACACUUUGUAUGCCCACCACACACCCCAACCACCUCCUGUUACAUAAAUGUAGUGUUUCAAAAAACAUUGUCUCCAACCAUAAUAAUGACAGGUAAUACGUAAAAUGAAAACAACAAAAUGAUGUAAUUUUGCCGAUGGGGGCAUCAGAUCAGAAAGCCACUCUGGAGGACAUAGACCAACAACAUAUUUUAUCAUUCAAUUUGGAGGACUUUUUUGAGGGUUUUAAAGGGGUUGGUCGAAUUGAAAAAGUUGCUUUAUUUAAACUUGUGAAAAUAUUUCUUUAUUUAUUUUAUUUUAUCAAGGAUUUCUGAAAACUGUAUUCUUAAUAUAUGUUUAAUUGCAUAGCUUAGCAUUCAAUUGAAACUGAUUAUUUGGUUGUUUAACAAUUGAACAUUGUCUAUCAUAUAAUUAGUGCCAAAUGACAUAGUUCCCUCCAUGAACCUUCCUAGAGAGUUUUUAGGAAAUAAUUAUGAAUUUAUGGACCCGUAGAAUAAGGCGAUAUCAAAUAUUCUAUCCCAGACUGCAUAUUACUACAUUAAAAUAGUAACAUAUCUAUCCAUUCCAUCCAUAAAAUAUACUACUAUACAUAGAAUGUAUAGUACUGUAAUUUCACAGUGAUUACUUAUUCAGUAUUUCAUCAAUUUAUCAUCAGAGCAUCACCAGAUAUAACGCCCAGUGUCUCAAAUUCCUUCUAUCUCGUGUAUUCAGCAUAUAAGGAAAGCAACAAUUGUAUUACUGGUAAUAUUAUUCAGCAGUAGUAUAUUGUAGUACAUCCACAUAUCACACACACAUAUGAUAUAUACCUAGCAUAGGGAUAUAUCAAUUUUCAUAAACCAGACCUCAUCAGUUCAUUUCAGAGUCGAGUUCACUUCACAUUGAAACACUCUCAAACGCUCUCUCGGAUGCUUUGGUGGAAGCAAUCUAACAACUACUUUUAAUUACUUUGAAAGCGUGUUUUUAUUGCAAGACGCUGUCAUAAACUUCUCUGUUAUAGCUGUAUUUUAUUUACUUAUUUUACCGUCAACUUGUUUCAUCUGACAGUUUCUCUGAUGACUUUCCUGUGACUCGAGUUGCUUUUGAGUGUCUAUGCAUUGUUUUCAUCCUCUUUUUUUAAACUUUCCUUUAUCUAUCUGCUGUGAGGCACUUUGUCACUUUCGUUUGAUGCAUAAAUAAAUGUAUUAUUGUUAUACUCAA